rnacentral:rRNA from 1 species
CCUACGGGUGGCAGCAGUGGGGAAUAUUGCACAAUGGGGGAAACCCUGAUGCAGUGACGCCGCGUGAGUGAAGAAGUAUUUCGGUAUGUAAAGCUCUAUCAGCAGGGAAGAAAAUGACGGUACCUGACUAAGAACCCCCGGCUAACUACGUGCCAGCAGCCGCGGUAAUACGUAGGGGGCAAGCGUUAUCCGGAUUUAAUGGGGGGAACGGGAGCGUAGACGGCAGCACAAGUCUGGAGUGAAAGGCCGGGGCUUAACCGCGGGACUGCUUUGGAAACUGUGCAGCUAGAGUGCAGGAGAGGUAAGUGGAAUUCCAUGUGUAGCGGUGAAAUGCGUAGAUAUUAGGAGGAACACCAGUGGCGAAGGCGGCUUACUGGACUGUAACUGACGUUGAGGCUCGAAAGCGUGGGGAGCAAACAGGAUUAGAUACCCCUGUAGUC